AAGUCGUAACAAGGUUUCCGUAGGUGAACCUGCGGAAGGAUCAUUCAUAGAGAGACACAACAAAGGUUGCCGUCAGGCAGUCUUUGUGUGUCUCAUUCUAAACUCAAGAGAGUGCGUUACGUUAGUCUGCCGCCAGGCAGGCUAAGGCUGCUCACUCUAUUGUAAAUCAAGAGGAGGCCUUUUCGGAGGUCGUUUCCUAGGAAACAUACAAGGCUGAUGACGCGGUUCUUGAAACCCUUUUUCGUCGCACACAGUCCUUAGUCUUCUGACAAACAAAAGUGAAGAGUGAAAAAGGAUUUCCUUACAAACCACUAUAUAUACCACCCCAAUUCUAACUUUAAAGUAAAUCAACUUUAGAAACAACUUUUGACAACGGAUCUCUUGGUUCUC
rnacentral:misc_RNA from 1 species